AACUUAACUUGGAGUCCGAACUCUCACUUUCUAAACCUGUGCACUUGUUUGGGAUAGUAACUCUCGCAAGAGAGCGAAACUCCUAUUCACUUAUAAACACAAAGUCUAUGAAUGUAUUAAAUUUUAUAACAAAAUAAAACUUUCAACAACGGAUCUCUUGGCUCUCGCAUCGAUGAAGAACGCAGCGAAAUGCGAUAAGUAAUGUGAAUUGCAGAAUUCAGUGAAUCAUCGAAUCUUUGAACGCACCUUGCGCUCCAUGGUAUUCCGUGGAGCAUGCCUGUUUGAGUGUCAUGAAUACUUCAACCCUCCUCUUUCUUAAUGAUUGAAGAGGUGUUUGGUUUCUGAGCGCUGCUGGCCUUUACGGUCUAGCUCGUUCGUAAUGCAUUAGCAUCCGCAAUCGAACUUCGGAUUGACUUGGCGUAAUAGACUAUUCGCUGAGGAAUUCUAGUCUUCGGAUUAGAGCCGGGUUGGGUUAAAAGGAGGCUUCUAAUCAAAAAUGUCUACAUUUUAAGAUUAAGAUCUC
rnacentral:rRNA from 1 species